rnacentral:rRNA from 1 species
GGCUCAGGAUGAACGCUAGCUACAGGCUUAACACAUGCAAGUCGAGGGGCAGCAUUGGGAUAGCUUGCUAUUCAGAUGGCGACCGGCGCACGGGUGAGUAACGCGUAUCCAACCUUCCUGCCAGUAGGGAACAGCCCGGCGAAAGUCGGAUUAAUGCCCUAUGUUCUUCAAUGCGGACAUCUAAGUUGAAGGAAAGAUUCAUCGCUGGCAGAUGGGGAUGCGUCCGAUUAGCUUGCCGGCGGGGUAACGGCCCACCGGGGCGACGAUCGGUAGGGGUUCUGAGAGGAAGGUCCCCCACACUGGUACUGAGACACGGACCAGACUCCUACGGGAGGCAGCAGUGAGGAAUAUUGGUCAAUGGGCGUAAGCCUGAACCAGCCAAGUAGCGUGCAAGGAUGACGGCCCUACGGGUUGUAAACUGCUUUUAUGCGGGGAUAAAGUGCGGCACGUGUGCCGCUUUGCAGGUACCGCAUGAAUAAGGACCGGCUAAUUCCGUGCCAGCCGCCGC